rnacentral:tRNA from 1 species
UAACAUUUUUGUUUUUAAAAAGGUUUUGAAAACCUUUGGAGGGAAUAACACUUCCCAACUUUAC